AUUGAACGCUGGCGGCAGGCCUAACACAUGCAAGUCGAACGAGUGGCGGACGGGUGAGUAAUGUCUGGGAAACUGCCCGAUGGAGGGGGAUAACUACUGGAAACGGUAGCUAAUACCGCAUACCAUCGGAUGUUCCCAUCUGUGAUUCGCUAGUGGGUGGGUUAACGGCUCACCUAGGCGACGAUCCCUAGCUGGUCUGAGAGGAUGACCAGCCAAACUGGAACUGAGAAACGGUCCAGACUCCUACGGGAGGCAGCAUGGGGGAAGAUUGCACAAUGGGCGAAAGCCUGAUGCAGCCAUGCCGCGUGGAUGAAGAAGGCUUUCGGGUGGUAAAGUACUUUCAGCGAGGAGGCGUUACUCGCAGAAGAAGCACCGGCUAACUCCGUGCCAGCAGCCGCGGUAAUUC
rnacentral:rRNA from 1 species